CAGGUUGUAAAAUACUCAUAGAAUUCCUCCAGUCAAGCGAAAAAUAAAGAUGCAGACAUCAGAUAAUAAAGAAAAAGUAAAAAGACGACCUUUACUCGUCAAGCAACCAGCUCGAGCCUUAUUAAUAGACGUUAGCCGUCCGUUUGGGAGCGAUGUUGCCACGAUUAUGUGUGAUGCAUUAGAUAAUUUGUUUGCCGUGGCCUGUACUACAGCUGGCCCCACCAGGAUACCUCUAGCCAGCAUUCUUAUACUUUCUACAUACCCAGAGAUAUUGAUGCCGCUAUCAUAUAUUAAGGGAAACAUGGCUCGUAUUCAAGGAGCUACAAGUGAUCUAAAGAUGAGAUUACGUGAGAAUUCUCUUGAUAACAAAGACGCUGGUUGUGUUGGUAAAGGUGUAUUAGAUGCUCUUAGAUCAUAUGUUUCUCAGUUAAACACAAUG